rnacentral:rRNA from 1 species
UGCAGUCGAGCGGACCGACGGGAGCUUGCUCCCUUAGGUCAGCGGCGGACGGGUGAGUAACACGUGGGUAACCUGCCUGUAAGACUGGGAUAACUCCGGGAAACCGGGGCUAAUACCGGAUGCUUGAUUGAACCGCAUGGUUCAAUCAUAAAAGGUGGCUUUUAGCUACCACUUACAGAUGGACCCGCGGCGCAUUAGCUAGUUGGUGAGGUAACGGCUCACCAAGGCGACGAUGCGUAGCCGACCUGAGAGGGUGAUCGGCCACACUGGGACUGAGACACGGCCCAGACUCCUACGGGAGGCAGCAGUAGGGAAUCUUCCGCAAUGGACGAAAGUCUGACGGAGCAACGCCGCGUGAGUGAUGAAGGUUUUCGGAUCGUAAAACUCUGUUGUUAGGGAAGAACAAGUACCGUUCGAAUAGGGCGGUACCUUGACGGUACCUAACCAGAAAGCCACGGCUAACUACGUGCCAGCAGCCGCGGUAAUACGUAGGUGGCAAGCGUUGUCCGGAAUUAUUGGGCGUAAAGCGCGCGCAGGCGGUUUCUUAAGUCUGAUGUGAAAGCCCCCGGCUCAACCGGGGAGGGUCAUUGGAAACUGGGGAACUUGAGUGCAGAAGAGGAGAGUGGAAUUCCACGUGUAGCGGUGAAAUGCGUAAAGAUGUGGAGGAACACCAGUGGCGAAGGCGACUCUCUGGUCUGUAACUGACGCUGAGGCGCGAAAGCGUGGGGAGCGAACAGGAUUAGAUACCCUGGUAGUCCACGCCGUAAACGAUGAGUGCUAAGUGUUAGAGGGUUUCCGCCCUUUAGUGCUGCAGCAAACGCAUUAAGCACUCCGCCUGGGGAGUACGGUCGCAAGACUGAAACUCAAAGGAAUUGACGGGGGCCCGCACAAGCGGUGGAGCAUGUGGUUUAAUUCGAAGCAACGCGAAGAACCUUACCAGGUCUUGACAUCCUCUGACAACCCUAAAGAUAGGGCUUCCCCUU